GACGAACCGUGCAAACGUUAUUCGGAAUCACUGGGCAUAAAGGGCGCGUAGGCGGCUCCAAAAGUCAGGGGUGAAAUCCGGCAGCUUAACUGUCGCAGUGCCUUUGAUACUGUGGAGCUAGAGGGAGGUAGGGGUUUGUGGAACUUCCGGUGGAGCGGUGAAAUGCGUUGAUAUCGGAAGGAACGCCGGUGGCGAAAGCGACGGACUGGAUCUCUUCUGACGCUGAGGCGCGAAAGCCAGGGGAGCAAACGGGG
rnacentral:rRNA from 1 species